CCCUUAGAUGUUCUGGGCCGCACGCGUGCUACACUGAGUGGAUCAGCGGGUCAGGUUGCGCGAAAGCGUUUCCUAAUCUUUAAAUCCGCUCGUGAUGGGGAUUGACGGUUGCAAUUUUCUGUCAUGAACGAGGAAUACCUUGUAAGCGCGGGUCAUCAUCCCGCGCUGAAUACGUCCCUGCCCUUUGUACACACCGCCCGUCGCUCUUACCGAUUGAGUGGUCCGGUGAGGCUUUGGGAUCUGAGCGGAAAGAGCGUUUCGCUGUUUCUGCUCGGAAAACUCAGUCGAACCUUAUCAUUUAGAGGAAGGAGAAGUCGUAACA
rnacentral:rRNA from 1 species